AUACGAAGGGGGCUAGCGUUGUUCGGAAUUACUGGGCGUAAAGCGCACGUAGGCGGACAUUUAAGUCAGGGGUGAAAUCCCGGGGCUCAACCCCGGAACUGCCUUUGAUACUGGGUGUCUGGAGUUCGAGAGAGGUGAGUGGAAUUCCGAGUGUAGAGGUGAAAUUCGUAGAUAUUCGGAGGAACACCAGUGGCGAAGGCGGCUCACUGGCUCGAUACUGACGCUGAGGUGCGAAAGCGUGGGAAGCAAACAGGAUUAGAUACCCUGGUAGUCCACGCCGUAAACUAUGGAUGCUAGCCGUCGGGCAGCUUGCUGUUCGGUGGCGCAGCUAACGCAUUAAGCAUCCCGCCUGGGGAGUACGGUCGCAAGAUUAAA
rnacentral:rRNA from 1 species